rnacentral:rRNA from 1 species
UACGGGGGGGGCAAGCGUUGUUCGGAAUUACUGGGCGUAAAGGGCGUGUAGGCGGGAAGGAAAGUCAGAUGUGAAAUCCCCAGGCUCAACCUGGGAACUGCAUUUGAAACUCCCUUUCUUGAGUACCGGAGAGGAAAGUGGAAUUCCUGGUGUAGCGGUGAAAGUGCGCAGAUAUCAGGAAGAACACCGAUGGCGAAGGCAGCUCUCUGGGACGGUACUGACGCUGAGACGCGAAAGCGUGGGUAGCAAACAGG